rnacentral:snoRNA from 1 species
UCCUUUUGUGGCUCACUGUGUAAGAAUUGGUUUCAUGCCACUGUGGGGUGUGCCUCUCGCCAGCCAUGUUAUGAUGUCAGCACAUCACCCACCUG